GGGGAAUCUUGCGCAAUGGGCGAAAGCCUGACGCAGCAACGCCGCGUGAGUGAUGAAGGUCUUUGGAUCGUAAAGCUCUUUCGGCUGGGAAGAACCGCCCGGUGGCUAAUAUCCAUCGGGUCUGACGGUACCAGCAGAAGAAGCACCGGCUAACUCUGUGCCAGCAGCCGCGGUAAUACAGAGGGUGCAAGCGUUGUUCGGAAUCAUUGGGCGUAAAGAGAGUGUAGGCGGGAUCGCAAGUCGGAUGUGAAAGCCCUCGGCUCAACCGGGGAAGUGCAUUCGAAACUGCGGUUCUUGAGUGUCGGAGAGGGUGGCGGAAUUCCCGGUGUAGAGGUGAAAUUCGUAGAUAUCGGGAGGAACACCAGUGGCGAAGGCGGUCACCUGGACGAACACUGACGCUGAGACUCGAAAGCGUGGGGAGCAAAC
rnacentral:rRNA from 1 species